rnacentral:rRNA from 1 species
UACGUAGGGUGCGAGCGUUAAUCGGAUUUAUUGGGUUUAAAGGGUGCGUAGGCGGCCCUGUAAGUCAGUGGUGAAAUACGGCAGCUCAACUGUCGAGGUGCCAUUGAUACUGCAGGGCUUGAGUACAGACGAGGUAGGCGGAAUUGACGGUGUAGCGGUGAAAUGCUUAGAUAUCGUCAAGAACACCGAUAGCGAAGGCAGCUUACUAGGCUGUAACUGACGCUGAGGCACGAAAGUGUGGGGAUCAAACAGG